UGGGGAAUAUUGCGCAAUGGGGGGAACCCUGACGCAGCCAUGCCGCGUGAAUGAAGAAGGCCUUAGGGUUGUAAAGUUCUUUCGGUAUUGAGGAAGGUUGAUGUGUUAAUAGCACAUCAAAUUGACGUUAAAUACAGAAGAAGCACCGGCUAACUCCGUGCCAGCAGCCGCGGUAAUACGGAGGGUGCGAGCGUUAAUCGGAGUAACUGGGCGUAAAGGGCACGCAGGCGGUUAUUUAAGUGAGGUGUGAAAGCCCCGGGCUUAACCUGGGAAUUGCAUUUCAGACUGGGUAACUAGAGUACUUUAGGGAGGGGUAGAAUUCCACGUGUAGCGGUGAAAUGCGUAGAGAUGUGGAGGAAUACCGAAGGCGAAGGCAGCCCCUCGGGAAUGUACUGACGCUCAUGUGCGAAAGCGUGGGGAGCAAACAGGAUUAGAUACCCUGGUAGUCCACGCUGUAAACGCUGUCGAUUUGGGGGUUGGGGUUUAACUCUGGCGCCCGUAGCUAACGUGAUAAAUCGACCGCCUGGGGAGUACGGCCGCAAGGUUA
rnacentral:rRNA from 1 species